UUCACUACUUUAAAUCAAACCUGUUAUGAUUUAAGGUAAUGAUGCGAUAUACGCCACGUUACCUGCUGAGCCUGACUCCGGGAAGCGUGGUCUUUUU
rnacentral:ncRNA from 1 species